UGGAGAGUUUGAUCCUGGCUCAGAUUGAACGCUGGCGGCAGGCCUAACACAUGCAAGUCGAGCGGUAGCACAGGAGAGCUUGCUCUCUGGGUGACGAGCGGCGGACGGGUGAGUAAUGUCUGGGAAACUGCCUGAUGGAGGGGGAUAACUACUGGAAACGGUAGCUAAUACCGCAUAACGUCUWCGGACCAAAGUGGGGGACCUUCGGGCCUCAUGCCAUCAGAUGUGCCCAGAUGGGAUUAGCUAGUAGGUGGGGUAAUGGCUCACCUAGGCGACGAUCCCUAGCUGGUCUGAGAGGAUGACCAGCCACACUGGAACUGAGACACGGUCCAGACUCCUACGGGAGGCAGCAGUGGGGAAUAUUGCACAAUGGGCGCAAGCCUGAUGCAGCCAUGCCGCGUGUGUGAAGAAGGCCUUCGGGUUGUAAAGCACUUUCAGCGAGGAGGAAGGGUAGUGUGUUAAUAGCACAUUGCAUUGACGUUACUCGCAGAAGAAGCACCGGCUAACUCCGUGCCAGCAGCCGCGGUA
rnacentral:rRNA from 1 species